rnacentral:rRNA from 1 species
CACGUAUGGGGCAAGCGUUGUUCGGAAUUAUUGGGCGUAAAGGGUGCGCAGGCUGUGCUAUAAGUCAGGUGUUAAAGGUUGGAGCUCAACUCCAACAUGCCGCUUGAAACUGUAGUACUUGAGUUCUAGAGGGGAAGCUGGAAUUCCUGGUGUAGGGGUGAAAUCUGUAGAUAUCAGGAAGAACACCGGUGGCGAAGGCGAGCUUCUGGCUAUGAACUGACGCUGAGGCACGAAAGUAUGGGGAGCAAACAGG